UAGGGAAUCUUCGGCAAUGGACGGAAGUCUGACCGAGCAACGCCGCGUGAGUGAAGAAGGUUUUCGGAUCGUAAAGCUCUGUUGUAAGAGAAGAACGAGUGUGAGAGUGGAAAGCUCACACUGUGACGGUAUCUUACCAGAAAGGGACGGCUAACUACGUGCCAGCAGCCGCGGUAAUACGUAGGUCCCGAGCGUUGUCCGGAUUUAUUGGGCGUAAAGCGAGCGCAGGCGGUUAGAUAAGUCUGAAGUUAAAGGCUGUGGCUUAACCAUAGUAGGCUUUGGAAACUGUUUAACUUGAGUGCAAGAGGGGAGAGUGGAAUUCCAUGUGUAGCGGUGAAAUGCGUAGAUAUAUGGAGGAACACCGGUGGCGAAAGCGGCUCUCUGGCUUGUAACUGACGCUGAGGCUCGAAAGCGUGGGGAGCAAACAGGAUUAGAUACCCUGGUAGUCCACGCUGUAAACGAUGAGUGCUAGGUGUUAGACCCUUUCCGGGGUUUAGUGCCGUAGCUAACGCAUUAAGCACUCCGCCUGGGGAGUACGACCGCAAGGUUG
rnacentral:rRNA from 1 species